GAUGAACGCUGGCGGCGUGCCUAAUACAUGCAAGUCGAGCGAACGGACGAGAAGCUUGCUUCUCUGAUGUUAGCGGCGGACGGGUGAGUAACACGUGGAUAACCUACCUAUAAGACUGGGAUAACUUCGGAAAACCGGCGCUAAUACCGUAUAAUCUCUUGCACCGCAUGGUUCAAAAGUGAAAUACGGUCUUUCUGUCUCUUAUCGAUGGUUCCCCGCUGCAUUAGCUAGUUGGUAAGGUAACGGCUUACCAAGGCAAGGCUGCGUAGCCGACCUGAGAGGGUGGUCGGCCGCACGGGAAGGGGGACGGGGACAAGACUCCUACGGGAGGCAGCAGUAGGGAAUCGUAGGCAGUGGGCGAGAGCAUGACGGAGCAGCGCGGCGUGGGUGAUGAAGGUCUUCGGAUCGUAAUACUGUGUUAUUAGGGAAGAACAGAUGUGUAAGUAACUGUGCACAUCUUGACGGUAACGGAUCAGAAAGCCACGGCUAACUACGUG
rnacentral:rRNA from 1 species